GACGAACGCUGGCGGCGUGCCUAACACAUGCAAGUCGAACGGAGUAAUUUCUUCGGAGAUUACUUAGUGGCGAACGGGUGAGUAACGCGUGAGAAACCUGCCUUUCAGUGGGGGACAACAGUUGGAAACGACUGCUAAUACCGCAUAAUGUUAUUUGGGGGCAUCCCUGAAUAACCAAAGCUUUAUGUGCUGAAAGAUGGUCUCGCGUCUGAUUAGCUAGAUGGCGGGGUAACGGCCCACCAUGGCGACGAUCAGUAGCCGGUCUGAGAGGAUGAACGGCCACAUUGGGACUGAGAUACGGCCCAGACUCCUACGGGAGGCAGCAGUGGGGAAUAUUGGGCAAUGGGGGAAACCCUGACCCAGCAACGCCGCGUGAAGGAAGAAGGCCUUCGGGUUGUAAACUUCUUUUACCAGGGACGAAGAACGUGACGGUACCUGGAGAAAAAGCAACGGCUAACUACGUGCCAGCCGCCGCCGUAAAAC
rnacentral:rRNA from 1 species